UACGUAGGUGGCAAGCGUUGUCCGGAUUUACUGGGCGUAAAGAGCGCGCAGGCGGUCGUUCAAGUCGCGUGUGAAAGCCCCCGGCUCAACUGGGGAGGGUCACGCGAUACUGAUCGACUCGAAGGCAGGAGAGGGAAGUGGAAUUCCCGGUGUAGUGGUGAAAUGCGUAGAUAUCGGGAGGAACACCAGUGGCGAAGGCGACUUCCUGGCCUGUUCUUGACGCUGAGGCGCGAAAGCUGGGGGAGCGAACGGG
rnacentral:rRNA from 1 species